GACGUAGGGGGCGAGCGUUGUCCGGAUUUAUUGGGCGUAAAGAGCUCGUAGGCGGUCUGUCGCGUCUGCUGUGAAAACUCGGGGCUUAACCCCGGGCCUGCAGUGGGUACGGGCAGACUAGAGUGCGGUAGGGGAGACUGGAAUUCCUGGUGUAGCGGUGAAAUGCGCAGAUAUCAGGAGGAACACCGGUGGCGAAGGCGGGUCUCUGGGCCGUAACUGACGCUGAGGAGCGAAAGCGUGGGGAGCGAACAGG
rnacentral:rRNA from 1 species